CCGGCGGAGCGCCAGCCCGUAUGCGCGGUCGCUGCGUCCCCCCUCGCUCCUGAGGGAACGUAGCGCACGCGCAGUGCGCGCUUCGACCGUCCUCGUCUCCUCCCCCCUGACUCCCUCCGCCAUGAGGGAGCAGGGACGCAAGGAAGAUGGCGCUAGGCUGUUGCCAGAGGGGCUGGUGGUGCGGCCGCGCUCCCUGGGGGCGGCCUGUGCUGCUGCGGCGGCUGCCCUUCGCUCGGAUGGCGGAGGGGGUGGAGGCAGGGUCCCCGUCACGGCCCUACGCGGUGGCAGCGGCCGGCGACGGUGAGGCGGUGGGCGGGGAGGAGCUGCUGGAGGUGUGCUGGCGGCGGCACUUCCUGCGGGGCGGUGCGGAGCCGCGGCCGGCGCUGGUAUGGCGAGACUACCUCAGCGGCUGCCACCCGGGCUUCGGGCCGCUGGGCGCCGCACUGCGGGGCAACCUGGCGGCCCAGUGGUGGGACUCGGCGCUGGCGCUACGGGAGCAGGUGUUGGCGGUGGAUGCCCCGGUUCACGGCCUGCCCGCCGUCGGCGCUCCGCCGGCCUCGCAGGGGCUUCAGCUGCUGCACUCAGAGACGCUGCGCGAAGCCCUCCGGAGCGGGCGCUGUAGCCAGGAGCCCGGCGGUCCUUCUCUGGAAGAAGUGUUGGGGAGCGCCGGGGUGCUUCGUGAGAGCCUGCUCCCCGGUGCUUUGGCACAAUAUGUUAGCUGCUUAGAACUGGUAAACAAAAGACUGCCUUGUGGCCUCGCUCAAGUUGGAGUAUGUUUUCACUCUAUUCCAGAAACGGAACAGCACAACAGAACCCCUAUAAGAAUAGGCGAAAGGACCACAUCUUUGCUUGCAUGGUUUAGCUCUCCCAGAACUGCAGGGCAGUGGCUCGAUUACUGGUUACGCCAGAGGCUCCAAUGGUGGAGGAAGUUUGCAGUAGGCCCGUCUAACUUCAGCAGCAGCGACUUUCAGGAUGAAGAAGGAAGAAGAGGAUUUAAUCUACAUUACAGCUUUCCUUGGGGGACAGAAACAAUAGAAACAUUGAAGAACCUUGGUGAUACUGAGCUGUUACAGAUGUAUCCAGGGGAUAGUUCAAAAUUACUUGGCCGAGAUGGAAGGAAGAAUGUUAUUCCUCAUGUUCUGUCUGUGAGUGGAAAUCUGGACCGAGGAGCGUUAGCGUACCUCUUUGAUUCUCUACAGCUAGCUGAGAAUCCAUUAACUAAAAAGAGAAGUUCACAGAGAAAGGUACUGAAGCUUCAUCCUUGUUUAGCACCCCUUAAAGUGGCCUUGGAUGUAGGAAAAGGUCCAACAACAGAGCUGAGACAGGUUUGUCAAGGAUUGUUCAAUGAACUGUCAGAAAACAGAAUUUCUGUAUGGCCGGGUUAUCUCGAAACCAUGCAGGUAUCUCUGGAACAGCUUUAUACAAAGUAAGGAGAAACAGUCUUUUGUAAAUUGAACUAUGAAGGUGAAGGAUGAUUUUCUGUGGACUGGCAAAAAUAUGCCUGUUUUCAGUAAGCAGUCAUCGAGUGCAGUAACCGCAUGACUGAAGGUACGAUGAGAUGAGUGUUCUCUUCACGAUCUUGAUAACUGAUGCCACCCUAGAGAAUGGAGUGGUCCAGCUGAGAAGCAGAGACACCACCAUGAAGGAAAUGAUGCACAUUUCUAGGCUGAAG